UUAUUUAGAUCGAGAACCACAACUUAAUGUGGCAACUUGAUCAGAAAAAGUCUCUUCAGCAUUAGCUAAAGUGAUUUUCUUGAUGGUGAUUUUUGCUUUCCCUAUUUAUUUUAUAAUUUUUUACUAUACAAAUGCAUGUCUUCUUUCUUUUAGCUCUUUCUUCCUUAUCUUCUUUUGCUUUUAUAGAUUGGCAUAAAACUUACUUCAAUACC
rnacentral:lncRNA from 1 species